UCUGUUUUCAAUUUUCAUCAUCCUUUUCUGAUUUAUGCUUUCUCUGAAUUUUCGGUCUCCUGUUCUUCAUGCAUUGCCAUAAGCAUAUCGUAGCUGCAUUAUGUUGCGGGUGAAAGAAACGAGAACAUUGCCACUAGGGUUCUUUUUUCUAUGCAUUUCGUGAUGCCAUUGGUAAUGUGAAGCAGAACGGUGGCAGAGAAGAAGCUAUCCAUGUAGUGAAAGAACAAACACUGCAUCACCUCUCUCGCCUCCUCAAGGAUUUCAAGUUACUGAAUAGAAUUGGGGAUGGUCAAGCCUUAUUACACGUAUAUUGUCAAUUUAGUAGAGUCAGCAUAAUGAAUUUACUCUGGUGAUUCUCAGGUGGAAGUGGAACCUGCUACUCUUGUGCUAUUAGGCCAACAAUGCAAAAAGUUUUUUUGGCCUCUGCUAUCGCUACAUAAUGAAAUUGGAAUGGAUCCACUAGUCAUUAGAGUAAGGGCAGUGCCUGGGCUUGUUGCUGCGGAUAACUUUGCUCUUUGGUCAGUGUUAAUUCAAAAUUUGGCAAAAAUUGGAUAUGACAUGGCUUCCUAUGAUUGGAAAUUUUCUUUCGAAAAUACUCAGGUUCAAUUAUUAUUUCAAGAGUAAACCUACAAUUAUAACCUCUGGAGAGGUAUACUUUCAACUAGUAUAAUUUAAGUUGGACAAUGCAUUUUAGAGACCAGUCUGUAUGUAGAUGGAGGAGUAAAAUUGAGCUUUUGUUUUUGCUUCUUGGUUUAAGGUACAAAGAUUGAUGGACGCUAGCUAUCUAGUUAGACUUGUUGGAGACCCAAUACUGAAGGCAUCCUGACUCUUGAGGUUGGUGCAGUUUCUUUUUUUCUUUUUUUCUUUUUUUACUUUAGUCAUGAUUUCUCAUUAUUCAUUUUCUGUGCAUAUUAAAUAAAAAUGUUUUGCUCCUUUAAAAAGUCAUUCAUAAAAAUUUAUUUCCACAUUGGAAUUUGGAAAGAAUGAUGGAUAUCAAUGUGGCUAGAAUCAUUUUUGAGAUAAGCAUAAUGGUUGAUCUUACGAGCAUGGUAGAACAGUGGGAUUAUAUUCAUGACUCUUUUGAAUAUGUUAAAAGAAAUGCUAUACUAAGAAGCAUGGUAUGCAUGUCAUUCAUAACACGGUCUAUGUAGAACUUUGUUGCAAUUACAUAGACGAUUUCAAGUCCGGAAAAAAAAGGAGGAUGAAUGAUGGACCCAAUUUAUGAUCUUAAAAAUUGAGAUAUGACAUUUUUGGACCCAAUUUGAAAUAAAGGAGGAUGGUAUACGUUGCUUUUAUGAUAUGAAAAGAAUGUGGCAUGAUGUAUGUAAUCCGAUUGAUCUAAAAAAAUAGUUUUUAUGAUCUCAAAGAUUGAGAUAUGACAUAUUUGGACCCAAUUUGAA